CCAAGUACAGUCCUGAUGGCUUAGAUGAGGGAUGGGGGGGGGGGGGGUCACGCGAGAGAAAGAGGGGGAACCAACGGUGUCCGGGGCUCCUGAUCCAAGAAGCAAGGAGGCAGCUGCCCUCAAGUGAGUGGGGAAAAGCUGGGCCGUGCGGACGCAGAUUCUGAGCGGACAGAUUCAGUUCUGGGCACGUCGCAUUUCAGACGUCCCCCUGGAGACACUGCGUAAUCUGUGUCGGAGUCCGGGACAGAGGUCUAGCUUGGAGAUGCGUAUCUGCGAGCCACGGCUACACAGACCAUACUUAAAGCCAGACGAGAUCACAAGGGGAUACAGGAGACGGGGACUGGGCACGGGGGCACGCCGGAUGAAGAGAAGGAGGCAAAGGAGAGAACCCAGUAAAGGGGGGUGCAAAGGAGCUCCAGUGAGGUGGAAAGAAGGAAGCCAGAAGACUGGAAUUCGAGAGGCCGGGCAAGGAGGAGGGAGCAUCCGCCCCGUCAAAGCCGCCAAUGGGUCAGGGACGCUGCAGACCGGGGACGGGAGGUUGGGUUGAACAACAUGGAAGUCACUGGAACCCUCGAAGAGCAGUUCUGGCUGAGCCGUGUGGGGUCUUAAAACAGCCUGCACAAACCAAUUCGACCCAACAAGAAAUCAGCGGAGGUUGUGUGUGCCACUCGAGCUCCACCGACAAUUUUUAUACAUUUUAUCCAAAAGCACAAAUUUCUUGGAUAAUUUCAUCAUUAAAGAGAAAGCAACGGGAGAAAGUCUCAGCCCAUCGGCCCAGGCGAAGGAGCCUUUUAGCCUCUCGAGUGGGCACACGUGAGCCACUGAAGUUGCGAGGGGAGAGGCACGCCCACGGACGUGUUCAGAAUCGUCAGGUGGUGGAAGU